UACGGAGGGAGCUAGCGUUGUUCGGAAUUACUGGGCGUAAAGCGCACGUAGGCGGCUUUGUAAGUUAGAGGUGAAAGCCCGGGGCUCAACUCCGGAACUGCCUUUAAGACUGCAUCGCUUGAAUCCGGGAGAGGUGAGUGGAAUUCCGAGUGUAGAGGUGAAAUUCGUAGAUAUUCGCAAGAACACCAGUGGCGAAGGCGGCUCACUGGCCCGAUACGUGACGCUGAGGUGCGAAAGCGUGGGGAGCAAACAGG
rnacentral:rRNA from 1 species